rnacentral:rRNA from 1 species
GAUGAACGCUGGCUACAGGCUUAACACAUGCAAGUCGAGGGGAAACGACGGGGAAGCUUGCUUCCCCGGGCGUCGACCGGCGCACGGGUGAGUAACGCGUAUCCAACCUGCCUCUGACUGAGGGAUAACCCGUCGAAAGUCGGCCUAAUACCUCAUGGCAUCGUCUGCGGGCAUCCAACGACGAUUAAAGAUUUCAUCGGUCAGGGAUGGGGAUGCGUCUGAUUAGCUUGUUGGCGGGGUAACGGCCCACCAAGGCUACGAUCAGUAGGGGUUCUGAGAGGAAGGUCCCCCACAUUGGAACUGAGACACGGUCCAAACUCCUACGGGAGGCAGCAGUGAGGAAUAUUGGUCAAUGGGCGAGAGCCUGAACCAGCCAAGUAGCGUGCAGGAAGACGGCCCUAUGGGGUGUAAACUGCUUUUAUGCGGGGAUAAAGUGAGGGACGUGUCCCUCAUUGCAGGUACCGCAUGAAUAAGGACCGGCUAAUUCCGU